AAUCUCAACCAUUAGGGUUUCUUAAUGGCUUGGAUUUGGAGGUUGCCAGUCUGACUGGCUCCUCUUAAAGGAGUUAGCAAGUUUGACUAUUGCUAUCUGGCGUAAUAAGUUUCGCCUGAAUGGUAUUGUGAAGCGUGCUUCUAAUCGUCUACGGACAAUUAUUUUGA
rnacentral:misc_RNA from 1 species